rnacentral:ribozyme from 12 species
AAAGAAAGAAAGAAAGAAAGAAAGAAAUAAGCAUGCAAUCAUAUUUGGGGAUUUCUUUACUACUGACACUCAUCAGU